ACAGCUAGAGUUUGAUCAUGGCUCAGGAUAAACGCUGGCGGCGUGCCUUAUGCAUGCAAGUCUUCACACCGGGACAGCUAGAGUUUGAUCAUGGCUCAGGACGAACGCUGGCGGCGUGCUUAACACAUGCAAGUCGAGCGAGACUUCGGUCUAGCGGCGAACGGGUGAGUAACACGUGGGCAACCUGCCCCGAGCUCUGGGAUAACUCCGGGAAACCGGGGCUAAUACCGGAUACGACCCGAGAAGACAUCUUCUCGGGUGGAAAGUUUUUCGGCUCGGGAUGGGCCCGCGGCCUAUCAGCUUGUUGGUGGGGUAACGGCCUACCAAGGCGACGACGGGUAGCCGGCCUGAGAGGGC
rnacentral:rRNA from 1 species